GCCUAGGUGGCUCAGCGGUUGAGCACCUGUCUUUGGCUCAGGGUGUGAUCUCACCGUCGCGGGAUCGAGUCCCACAUCGGGCU
rfam:Canis lupus familiaris chromosome 15, whole genome shotgun sequence.